rnacentral:rRNA from 1 species
GAUGAACGCUGGCGGCGUGCCUAAUACAUGCAAGUCGAGCGAACGGACGAGAAGCUUGCUUCUCUGGUGUUAGCGGCGGACGGGUGAGUAACGCGUGGAUAACCUACCUAUAAGACUGGGAUAACUUCGGGAAACCGUAGCUAAUACCGGAUAAUAUUUUGAACCGCAUGGUUCAAAAGUGAAAGACGGUCUUGCUGUCACUUAUAGAUGGAUCCGCGCUGCAUUAGCUAGUUGGUAAGGUAACGGCUUACCAAGGCAACGAUGCAUAGCCGACCUGAGAGGGUGAUCGGCCACACUGGAACUGAGACACGGUCCAGACUCCUACGGGAGGCAGCAGUAGGGAAUCUUCCGCAAUGGGCGAAAGCCUGACGGAGCAACGCCGCGUGAGUGAUGAAGGUCUUCGGAUCGUAAAACUCUGCUAUUAGGGAAGAACAUAUGUGUAAGUAACUGUGCACAUCUUGACGGUACCUAAUCAGAAAGCCACGGCUAACUACGUG